rnacentral:lncRNA from 10 species
AAUCUUGGUGAGACCCUAAGACAUGUAUCUUCAGUCUACACUGGAAAAUAUAGAGAAUGAAAGCUGAGUCGUGACGUCACCGUCACCAAUGUAACCUCAAAUAUCUGCUUUGUGAAUGUUUAGGUUCUAUUGUAACAGCAUGAUGGAUAUGAACCAAGGUUCUAUUGUAACAGCAUGAUGGAUAUGAAUUGAGGUUAUAUUGUAACAGCAUGAUCACUCUGAAUUUGGAUUUGGUCAUCGUGGCUAUGAGGAGUGUGAAGGUUAUUUUGGCACUUCGACACCUGCAGUACAAACUGCAUUUCAAUCUGUCAUUUGAUCAGGGGAAAAUAAUGUUUUUUCGUCCCCAAAUGCCAAACCCAACCAAGGCAGAUGUCUUUAUAGGAUAAUCUCCAUAACAGAAGCAGAGGGAGGACUGAAAUAAUGAGCUGUAAGGGGAACUAAAAUUCCCCUGGGCUGGUUCCUAAGUUUAUAGGCAAGAAAACUGAGGCCAAAGAAGUAAAGUGACUUAUCUAAAGUAACACAGUUUAGUGGCAGAUCUUGAUUAGGAUCAAAACUUUCUGUCAGCCCAUACAUUGUGCUUUUCACAAUUCUUCAGGUUUUAAAUUCUGCUAAGCUCACAAUCUGAUGUUGAA